UCGAUGUCGGGAGAUGGCAUGCCUCCCUGAACCGCCGCAAGGCUGAUGAUGCCUACCAUCCC
rnacentral:ncRNA from 2 species